AAGAUCAUGCUUCACAGGAUCAGUUCUGUAGUACUUGAUCUCAUUCUCCCUCCCUAACAUGGGAGUAGACCGUAACCACGAUGAAGAGAGAUAGCUCUCUUCCUUGAGCGUGAGAACGACACGAGUUCUCGACUUGUUUCGAGAACUCUGUCAUCGAUGAUCGUUCGCUCUUUGCACUCAGUGCAAAGGGGUUGGGAAGUGGAGCUUUCUGAGUGGU
rnacentral:snoRNA from 1 species